AAAGAAACAAAAAGGAAUUGCCUCGUAACGGCGAGUGAAGCGGCAACAGCUCAAAUUUGAAAUCUGGCCCCCUGCGGGGUCCGAGUUGUAAUUUGCAGAGGAUGCUUCGGGCGCGGCGCCUUCCAAGUCCGCUGGAACGCGGCACCACAGAGGGUGAGAGUCCCGUAUGGUUGGCCGCCUAGCCCGUGUGAAGCCCUUCGACGAGUCGAGUAGUUUGGGAAUGCUGCUCUAAACGGGAGGUAGACCCCUUCUAAAGCUAAAUAUAGGCCAGAGACCGAUAGCGCACAAGUAGAGUGAUCGAAAGAUGAAAAGCACUUUGAAAAGAGGGUUAAACAGUACGUGAAAUUGUUGAAAGGGAAGCGCUUGUGACCAGACGUGCGCCGGGCGCUCAGCGGGCGUUCUCGCCCGUGCACUCGCCCCGGCGCAGGCCAGCGUCGGUUCGGACGGGGGGACAAAGGUGCCAGGAACGUAGCUCCCCCGGGAGUGUUAUAGCCUGGUGCGUAAUGCCCCCGUCCGGACCGAGGUUCGCGCUCUGCAAGGACGCUGGCGUAAUGGUCCCCAGCGGCCCGUCUUGAAACACGGACCAAGGAGUCGAGGUUUUGCGCAGUGUUUGGG
rnacentral:rRNA from 1 species